rnacentral:rRNA from 1 species
GAUGAACGCUGGCGGCGUGCCUAAUACAUGCAAGUCGAGCGAACAGAUAAGGAGCUUGCUCCUUUGACGUUAGCGGCGGACGGGUGAGUAACACGUGGGUAACCUACCUAUAAGACUGGGAUAACUUCGGGAAACCGGAGCUAAUACCGGAUAACAUUUGGAACCGCAUGGUUCUAAAGUGAAAGAUGGUUUUGCUAUCACUUAUAGAUGGACCCGCGCCGUAUUAGCUAGUUGGUAAGGUAACGGCUUACCAAGGCGACGAUACGUAGCCGACCUGAGAGGGGGAUCGGGCAAAACUGAAACGGGACAACGGCCAAGACCCUAAGGGAGGGCAGAAGAGGGAAAUUUGCCGAAAUGGGGGAAGGCCGAACGGAGAAAGGCGGGGGGGGGAAGGAAGGUUUCGGCUCGUAAAACUCUGUUAUUAGGGAAGAACAAAUGUGUAAGUAACUGUGCACGUCUUGACGGUACCUAAUCAGAAAGCCACGGCUAACUACGUG